rnacentral:rRNA from 1 species
AUGGCGGUCAGGGCCCACACCCUGCUCUGCGUCUGGAAGAACUUCUGCAGCGGGAAGUUGGCGGCGUGCGCGAGCAGCCGCGGGAUCGCCCACCGCGCGUACGGCCCCGCGGCGACCGCGACGGCGGCCGGCUGCCGGAGGAGGGAGCCCAGGAUCGGCGUGGCGAAGGCGUACGCCGGCGUGAGCGCCACUGCGGCCGCGCCGCAGACGAUCCACGACUGCUGCACGUAG